rnacentral:lncRNA from 1 species
UGUGCGUCAUGUCGGAUCACUGCCCUUAAUUUUUCUAUAAGUAAAUUAUACGUUACCCUUGUGAUUUAAACUAUUUUUCUACAUUCACUAUCGGAAAUUUUCUUUUUUAACGUCAUCUUUCUUAUUUACUAGAACUCACCACUACAAUAGAGCCACAAGCUCUAGUGUAGGUUUUGAAAUAAGAAAAUAACUAGCAUCAAUACUAGUGGAGGUUUUGAACUUGUAUUAUCUUAAUACUUUAAAAAAUUCAAUGAAUUCAAAGCGUGUCUUGGUGUGACUCACAAAAGGUUAAUUCGUAAAAAAACAAUACA